rnacentral:rRNA from 1 species
AUACGUAGGGGGCGAGCGUUGUCCGGAAUGAUUGGGCGUAAAGGGCGCGUAGGCGGCCUGUUAAGUCUGGAGUGAAAGUCCUGUUUUCAAGAUGGGAAUUGCUUUGGAUACUGAUGGGCUUGAGUGCAGGAGAGGUUAUCGGAAUUCCCGGUGUAGCGGUGAAAUGCGUAGAGAUCGGGAGGAACACCAGUGGCGAAGGCGGGUAACUGGACUGCAACUGACGCUGAGGCGCGAAAGUGUGGGGAGCAAACAGGAUUAGAUACCCUGGUAGUCCACACUGUAGACGAUGAAUGCUAGGUGUAAGAGGUAUCGACCCCUUCUGUGCCGCAGUAAACACAGUAAGCAUUCCGCCUGGGGAGUACGGUCGCAAGAUUAAAACUCAAAUGAAUUGACGGGG